ACCUGGGUGGCUCAGUGGUUGAGCGCCUGCCUUUGGCUCAGGGCGUGAUCCCAUGGUCCUGGGAUCAAGUCCUGGAUCAGGCA
rnacentral:tRNA from 1 species